AUUGAACGCUGGCGGCAUGCCUUACACAUGCAAGUCGAACGGUAACAGGUUAAGCUGACGAGUGGCGAACGGGUGAGUAAUAUAUCGGAACGUGCCCAGUCGUGGGGGAUAACGUAGCGAAAGCUACGCUAAUACCGCAUACGAUCUACGGAUGAAAGCGGGGGAUCGAAAGACCUCGCGCGAUUGGAGCGGCCGAUAUCAGAGUAGGUUGUUGGUGAGGUAAAAGCUCACCAAGCCUGCGAUCUGGAGCUGGUCUGAGAGGACGACCAGCCACUCUGGAACUGAGACACGGUCCAGACUCCUACGGGAGGCAGCAGUGGGGAAUUUUGGACAAUGGACGCAAGUCUGAUCCAGCAAUGCCGCGUGCAGGACGAAGGCCUUCGGGUUGUAAACUGCUUUUGUACGGAACGAAACGGUGAGCUCUAAUACAGUUUGCUAAUGACGGUACCGUAAGAAUAAGCACCGGCUAACUACGUGCCAGCCGCCGCCGUAA
rnacentral:rRNA from 1 species